ACUGAUCCUUUAGAAAGGACACCAACUGCAGUAGCUAGCAAGCAAGGUGCUUGUUUCAGGAUAUCUCCUCUGAAGUUGACAGCAACACCGCAGAGCAAAAGCUAAAGAGGUCAGAGUAACAGCAGGCAGAAAAGAAAACCGUGAAUUUCGGAAUCAAGAAUAAAGCGAUGGAUCCGGCCAUUCAAUCUACUGUGGGCUCUAGAAGGAACAACAAAGAGAAUAAAAAGCCUGCAAAUGGACACGGUAAGACUGUGCCAAACCGUGUGUUUCCCAAGAAGACGAC